UGGUUUGACCCGGAAACAGGAUUUCUGGGAUGCUGUGUGGAUGGGGCCAAUGAGUGCUCAGAUUUGAAUAUUGCCAUCUGGCCCAACCACUGGGCAAUGGGAUCCACCUCCGAGAACACAGGGUAAAAGCAGGGCUCUCCCCCUGGCAGUUGCUCUUUGGAUUUCCGGCGGUGAAGGAGUUGAGUCUCUCCCCCGGCCCAGUUGCUGGCUGGGCUGGGGGAGGGGAAAAGCCAUGCGGCCCGGCCCGGGAGAGAAAACUUACUGCGAUCUGAUUUUGGAUGUCCAGCUUCUGUAAUACGUUCAAGGACCAGAUUUCCCAAGAGUCAUCAUGUGUAACAGGACUGGUUAUCUAAAAUCUGUAAUAUUUUCUUAAAAUCUUGGGUUUUUGAAGUAAACGUUAGGGAUUUUAAAACA